AAGUAGAACGCUGAAGGAGGAGCUUGCUUCUCCGGGAUGAGUUGCGAACGGGUGAGUAACGCGUAGGUAACCUGCCUGGUAGCGGGGGAUAACUAUUGGGAACGAUAGCUAAUACCGCAUAAGAGUAGAUGUCGCAUGACAUUUGCUUAAAAGGUGCAAUUGCAUCACUACCAGAUGGACCUGCGUUGUAUUAGCUAGUUGGUGGGGUAACGGCUCACCAAGGCGACGAUACAUAGCCGACCUGAGAGGGUGAUCGGCCACACUGGGACUGAGACACGGCCCAGACUCCUACGGGAGGCAGCAGUAGGGAAUCUUCGGCAAUGGACGGAAGUCUGACCGAGCAACGCCGCGUGAGUGAAGAAGGUUUUCGGAUCGUAAAGCUCUGUUGUAAGAGAAGAACGAGUGUGAGAGUGGAAAGUUCACACUGUGACGGUAUCUUACCAGAAAGGGACGGCUAACUACGUGCCAGCAGCCGCGGUAUACGUAGGUCCCGAGCGUUGUCCGGAUUUAUUGGGCGUAAAGCGAGCGCAGGCGGUUAGAUAAGUCUGAAGUUAAAGGCUGUGGCUUAACCAUAGUACGCUUUGGAAACUGUUUAACUUGAGUGCAAGAGGGGAGAGUGGAAUUCCAUGUGUAGCGGUGAAAUGCGUAGAUAUAUGGAGGUACACCGGUGGCGAAAGCGGC
rnacentral:rRNA from 1 species